rnacentral:rRNA from 1 species
CCUACGGGAGGCAGCAGUGGGGAAUAUUGGGCAAUGGGCGCAAGCCUGACCCAGCAACGCCGCGUGAAGGAAGAAGGCAUUCGGGUUGUAAACUUCUUUUCUUAGGGACGAAGAGAGUGACGGUACCUGAGGAAUAAGCCACGGCUAACUACGUGCCAGCAGUCGCGGUAAUACGUAGGUGGCAAGCGUUAUCCGGAUUUAUUGGGUGUAAAGGGCGUGUAGGCGGGAGGGCAAAUUAGACGUGAAAACCCAGGGCUCAACCCUGAGCCUGCAUUUGAAACUGUGUUUCUUGAGUGCUGGAGAGGUAAUCGGAAUUCCGUGUGUAGCGGUGAAAUGCGUAGAUAUACGGAGGAACACCAGUUGCGAAGGCGGAUUGCUGGCCAGUAACUGACGCUGAGGCGCGAAAGCGUGGGGAGCGAACAGGAUUAGAUACCCUAGUAGUC